AGUCUUUUCAGUCUAGUCGUUUUUCCAUUCAUAAAAAAAAAAAAAAAUACCCCCAUACCAGCCCCUCUCUCUCUCUCUCUUCUCUCUCUGAUUUUAUAUCAUUUCUUUCUUUUUUUCAUCCAAGUUCUCCAUCCAGAAGAGUGGGUAGGCAAUGAGUCUUUUGAUUGGAAUCAAACAAGUUUUCUCUCUUUUCUUCCAUUCAUAACGACAACUCUGUACACUCUCAGAAUUUGAACAAGAACGGCUAAAGAGGCUUGAAAUGGGAAUCACAACUCUGCAACAAAAGCUCCACCCACUCUAGAUUUUCCAAGUACUUUCAGGUAUAAGUAUCUGGCUUUUUUUGUUUGUCUAUGUAGAAGUAACAGAUAUGUGGUUAGGUCUUCCACGGACAUGGUAGCAGAGAAGAAAAUAAGUUUAGAAAAAAAUAGAAUCCUUUUGGGGGGUUUUCUUUGUCUCUUCCUAAUUCCAAUUUGAUGCGCAUGGAUGUCCGCUUCUAGAUGAGCUAAUAAUUUCUUUUUCUUAAACUUUGUUCCCUAUCUAUUGCUUCCUUCUUCUUUUAAUUGUCGCUUGCACAUUCUUUUUGCUAGCAUUCACCAGUUGCUUAUUUUGUAUCCAACUCUCCUACAUAAUAUGCUGGCGGUCAGAGCCAUACCAAGGGACUUUAUGGCUAUCAAGGUUCUUGAAAGCUAGGAAAUGUGACCGGACAAGGAAAUUGGAGCUUUAUCACCAUAUGUCCCUAACAAAUUUUGAUGGGUUUCUGAAUUGGGUUUUGAUAGUAGGUUCUGCUGGUGGUGUUGUUGUUAUAUUUUGCUUGAAAAUAUUACUGAGCGAAAAAAACUUGCUUACUAGCUCAACAAGAAUUGGGUUUUCCCCCGCUAUUUUUAGGGUCACUAAAAGUUUGUUUUUUGACAAGCUUUGGAUCUGGAUGAGUUCUUGCUUGAAAAACAUGAUGUCUAAUUUUAUAGUAUGCAUGUCAUUGGAGAUGAUAUUUUUAAA